AUCCUUAUGCACGGGAAAUACGCAUAUCAGUGAGGAUUCGUCCGAGAUUGUGUUUUUGCUGGUUGAA
rnacentral:snRNA from 2 species